GCCCGGGUGGUGGAAUUGGUAGACACGCCGGAUUUAGGUUCCGGUGCCUUGCGGUGUGGAGGUUCGAGUCCUCUCCCGGGCA
rnacentral:tRNA from 1 species